AUUGAACGCUGGCGGCAGGCCUAACACAUGCAAGUCGAACGGUAGCACAGAGAGCUUGCUCUCGGGUGACGAGUGGCGGACGGGUGAGUAACGUCUGGGAAACUGCCCGAUGGAGGGGGAUAACUACUGGAAACGGUAGCUAAUACCGCAUAACGUCGCAAGACCAAAGUGGGGGACCUUCGGGCCUCACACCAUCGGAUGUGCCCAGAUGGGAUUAGCUAGUAGGUGGGGUAAUGGCACACCUAGGCGACGAUCCCUAGCUGGUCUGAGAGGAUGACCAGCCACACUGGAACUGAGACACGGUCCAGACUCCUACGGGAGGCAGCAGUGGGGAAUAUUGCACAAUGAGCGCAAGCCUGAUGCAGCCAUGCCGCGUGUAUGAAGAAGGCCUUCGGGUUGUAAAGUACUUUCAGCGGGGAGGAAGGCGGUGAAGUUAAUAGCUUCACCGAUUGACGUUACCCGCAGAAGAAGCACCGGCUAACUCCGUGCCAGCCGCCGCGGUAA
rnacentral:rRNA from 1 species